AAGUCGUAACAAGGUUUCCGUAGGUGAACCUGCGGAAGGAUCAUUAUCGAGUACCGGGUCUUCUAGGCCCUUACUCCCACCCUUUGUGUACCUACCUAUUUUCGUUGCCUUGGUGGGGUUGAUCCCAAUGCCUCACGGCCUUGGGGGACCUGCCAGGGGGACACAUCUAAACUCUUGUUAACUGUGUCGUCUGAGAACAAACAUAACAAAUUAAAACUUUCAACAACGGAUCUCUUGGUUCUG
rnacentral:misc_RNA from 1 species